rnacentral:rRNA from 1 species
GAUGAACGCUAGCGGCAGGCUUAAUACAUGCAAGUCGUGGGGCAGCAGGGGUAGCAAUACCCGCUGGCGACCGGCAAACGGGUGCGGAACACGUACGCAACCUUCCUUUAACUGGAGAAUAGCCCCUCGAAAGAGGGAUUAAUACUCCGUAACAUAUUGAUAAGGCAUCUUAUUACUAUUAUAGCUCCGGCGGUUAAAGAUGGGCGUGCGCCUGAUUAGAUAGUUGGCAGGGUAACGGCCACCAAGUCUGCGAUCAGUAACUGGUGUGAGAGCACGACCAGUCACACGGGCACUGAGACACGGGGCCCGA